rnacentral:tRNA from 1 species
CAGGGAGACAACAAAAUGUUUAAUAUUAUUAUUUUGUCACCUUAGGUCGAUCGGUAUCUCACGUUCUUAAUUAAUUAAGAAUUUCAUUUCCUAAGUUUUUCUAGGUCACACCCAUUAUUUUCCUGGGCCAUUAGCUCAGGUGGUUAGAGCGCACCCCUGAUAAGGGUGAGGUCCCUGGUUCAAGUCCAGGAUGGCCCAUCUCUCUAUGUUGGGGGUAUAGCUCAGUUGGUAGAGCGCCUGCUUUGCAAGCAGGAUGUCAGCGGUUCGAGUCCGCUUACCUCCACUGAUUACCACCUCUUCCAUAAUCUGUAGAAAGGAAAUGUUUUGAGUUGUGAUCAAAUUCUGAACGAAUCUAGCUUCCUAAUGAAAUCAUUAAGAUGCUGGACUCAUUGAAUAAAUUUCAUUGUUUUCAGAGAACCUUGACAACUGCAUAGAUUAUUUUUAAAGACAAUAAGCAUCUUGUAAUGAUGCAGAUUUAUUAUUUGUGCGAAUGCAUUAAUAACAAUUCUAUUAAGCUGAUGCUUCAAUUUUGAAGUUAUU